rnacentral:miRNA from 1 species
CUGACAAGGGAGGGGGAGACGGUGGAACUUAUCCAGAGUGCGUGUAGUUGAGGGACACUCUGUCCCCACCUCCAG